AAAUUGAAGAGUUUGAUCAUGGCUCAGAUUGAACGCUGGCGGCAGGCCUAACACAUGCAAGUCGAGCGGUAGCACAGAGAGCUUGCUCUCGGGUGACGAGCGGCGGACGGGUGAGUAAUGUCUGGGAAACUGCCUGAUGGAGGGGGAUAACUACUGGAAACGGUAGCUAAUACCGCAUAACGUCGCAAGACCAAAGUGGGGGACCUUCGGGCCUCAUGCCAUCAGAUGUGCCCAGAUGGGAUUAGCUAGUAGGUGGGGUAACGGCUCACCUAGGCGACGAUCCCUAGCUGGUCUGAGAGGAUGACCAGCCACACUGGAACUGA
rnacentral:rRNA from 1 species